GCUCAUUAUGGAGAAGGACGCAAUCAUUUAAGAGCAUGCUUCCUUGAAAAAUCAAUUGGUUUCUUUACAGACACAGAUAAACAGCCUCACUGCAGAAGUAGAUAACCUUACAAGCAAGGUUAGUUCCAUAAAGAAGGAAUAUGAUCAAGCUGAGUUUGAGCUCAAUUUGAGUCGUUCAAAGAUGAAAGAAUGUGACGCUGAGAUCAGUGCCAUUGUCAAGGAGCAACAAAAGCUUCAACAUAAAAUUAGUGAUGCAAAUGUUAAGAGGAAAAAAUUGGAAAAUGAGCCUUGAGAAGAGGGUCAACAAAAAAGUUAUGGCAAUGUUCGAGAAAGUUAAGAUGAAUACAAUUACUUAUUAUCCAAGAAAAACAUCAUUGAGGUAUAUUGCUGUAUUUCUCAGCCUGUAAAGGAUCUCAUCUUUUUUCUUUUUUCUUUUUAAAUUGAAUUUGUUUAUGUCUGAAGUUGUUUGUUUACUGUAUUCUUCUCUUGCUUAGAUGAUAAGUCAAAAAUCAAGAAGGUGAUUGAAGAGCUUGAUGAAAAGAAGAAGGAAACACUAAAAGUUACUUGGAUUAAAGUGAACAAGCUGACAAGCUAAAGAAGUCAGUGGAGGAUGAAAUUCAUUUUCUCAAGGGAAGGGUUUUAGAACUUGAAAGUGAUCUUGUGUCGAAGUCUACAGAAGUUACAUCUGCAGUUUCAAGGAAAGAAGAAGCUCUAUCUUCUGCAUUUGCUGAAAUUGACCGUCUGAAGGAAGAAAAUUCUGUAAAAACGUGAGCAUUAUUGAAUGCAUAUGGAGAGUGUUUACUGUGUUGGAGUGUAUUUGUUUCUUGCACAUGAGGGCACGCCUUAGUUGUAAUUCUUAUGAUAGGUUGAGCAAAGUGAAGUAUUGUUUAUUUAGAAAUGUGAAUGUAGGAUGCAUUGUAUGAUUUGAUUGCUAUUUGUAAUAAAUGCAUCUUUUUUUUUUCUGAUUA